GAGGGUAUAGCUCAGUGGUAGAGCACAUGCUUAGCAUGCAUGAGGUCCUGGGGUCAGUCCCCAGCACCUCCU
rnacentral:tRNA from 1 species